AGACUAACGGCGGCUGGUCCCUCGUCUGGCAGCGUACCGGAUCAGCAAAGUCGACUUAUGUGAAGAAAACAGCGAUCAGCGAUCGGUCCUUCUGCAGGUAGUUAAAGAGAGACAACGGCUGCUUGCUGUCUCUGUGGGAUCCCGGAUUAAUUGACAAUCGUUAAAAAAAGAGGGAAAAGGUGUAACAGUCUGGCUCGUCCAGCAAGUUUGAAGACGGAUGGAACACUUUUAGAAAAAAAUAAAAAGGGGUUUUAAAAAGAUAAAGAGAGUGCUCUCUAGUGCUAUAAGAGUCGUACCUUAACGGACGGUGAUCUCAGCGAGAAGCAAGGAGGAGAGAGUCUCUUUGGCUUUAUGGUUCCAACAAGGCCCCUGAAAAAAUCUCUUUGUUCGACCACAUGGCCGGACCCAACAUUCUCCUCACAGGAUAUGCAGAGGAGAACUGUAGUGGAAGUCUGUCCUACCACUCAAGAGAAUCAGAAAAAGUUCUUAAGUUGUUAUCUGAGAUCAAGAAGAGACACAAUGAUAAGAAGAUGGCCAGAACCUUUGCAUACAGGAGGCCGUCAGAGACGAAGUUCAAGAUCAUCUUACCAGGACUGUUCACUGUGGCAGAGGUGGAAACAGAAUGUGUGAGGCUUACUACUGCUCCUCUUCUCUCAGAGUUCCUUGCACAACUUGACCAACACACUGCCCAGCUCAUCAAAGAAAGGAGGCUCUGCAGGUAGGUUCUGCUAUUGGUAGAAAACAUUACAAGUUGCUGUUGACUGUUCUACUUUGACAGGUAUAGGGACUAGCAAACAGUUAGAAACUAAUCACAUCUGUGAAUGCAACUGUGACCUACGUGUAGUUAACAGAAUACUCAAAUACAUUUAGGACCAGUGUCUAGGGAGGAGUUGAAAGAGAAUGACAGACACAAUAAGCAACUGGAGCCACAGGGUACCUUAACUUCAAAUGUGAAAGUAUUGAAAUCAGAAGACCUUUUCUCUUUUUGUUUGUUACUGACAACACCACCUUGGGUUAGGGCCCAAGGACCCGUACUGAAGGUCAAUUAUCACCUCUUNNNNNNNNNNNNNNNNNNNNNNNNNNNNNNNNNNNNNNNNNNNNNNNNNNNNNNNNNNNNNNNNNNNNNNNNNNNNNNNNNNNNNNNNNNNNNNNNNNNNUCACGCUCCACCUCCCCGACGGUGCGGGCGAGACGGGCCGGUGGUGCGCCCGACCCCGCGGGGCCGGGAUCCCACCUCAGCCGGCGUGCGCCGGCCCUCCACUUUCAUUGCGCCACGGGGUUUUGUCUUCACCCUCCUGACUCGCGCGUGCGUUAGACUCCUUGGUCCGUGUUUCAAGACGGGUCGGGUGGGUUGCCGACAUCGCCGCAGACCCCUGACGCCUUUUACGUGAGCCGAUCCCCGCCCUGGCGACGCGACGCGGUUGGAGCGCACUGAGGACAGUCCGCCCCGGUUGACAGUCGCACCGGGAGCGAGGGGCCCCGUCCCUCCCCGCCAGGGAGAGAGGGCGCAGCGAGCACUUAGUCCACGGCCCCGGGAAGCGGCGAGGUCCGGGCGGGGGGCGGCUGUAAAGCUCACAGCCGAAGCCGCGAGCCACCUUCGCCCCCGAGCCUUUCCAAGCCGACCCAGAGCCGGUCGCGGCGCACCGCCACGGAGGAAAUGCGCCCGGCGAGGGCCAGCCAGCAGCCGGGGAGAGGUCCCACGAGGGGAUCCUCCACCACCGAGCGGCCGUCCCUAACCCCGCCGAGUUGAAUCCCCCCGAGCAGACUGCGCGGGACCCCCACCCCGUUUUACCUCUCCAACGGGUUUUCACGCCCUCUUGAACUCUCUCUUCAAAGUUCUUUUCAACUUUCCCUUAAGGUACUUGUCGACUAUCGGGUCUCGUGCCGGUAUUUUAGCCCUUACGAGUGGAGUUUUACCACCCCACUUUUGGGCUGCAUUCCCAAACAACCCGACUCCGAGAAGACCGGACCCCCGGCGUCGACGGGGGGCCGUUACCGGCCUCACACCGUCCACGGGCUGAGCCUCGAUCAGAAGGACUCAGGCCCCCGAGCGACACCGGGGCAAGCGGUCUUCCAUACACCACAUUUCCCACGUCCGCCCGUCGGACGGGGAUUCGGUGCUGGGCUCUUCCCCUCUUCGCUCGCCGCUACUGAGGGAAUCCUGGUUAGUUUCUUUUCCUCCGCUUAGUAAUAUGCU
rnacentral:lncRNA from 15 species